CGUGAUUUAUCAUAACUAAAUUCGUGCGUGCAAAGUUUCUGUUUUUCAGCAGAAUCAAAUCAACUAUCAUCGUAGGUUAUCCUAUAGGUCUUACUUGGCACAAACACUAAUUAAAACAUAAAACCACAUCCAAACAGAAGGUAGAUGGAUUAUUUAUUCCUAAACAGAUGCAAAAACAAAAAACACAAAAUAAAAUUGGGUUGCCUCCCAACAAGCGCUAUCGUUUAACGCCCCUAGCUAGGCAUAAAAGCAAGAAUAGAUCUAGGUAUUGCCAUCUUUGGUAGGCAAUCCAUAAGUGGCUCUCAUGAUAAAUUCAUAUGGUAAUUUUAAUUUCUUUCUAGGAAAGUGUUCCAUGCCCUUCUUUAAGGGAAAUUGGAAUCUAAUAUUCCCUUCCUUCAUAUCAAUAAUUGCACCAAUCGUUCUAAGGAAAGGUCUACAAAGAGUAAUAGGACAUGAAGGAUUGCAAUCUAUAUCAAGAACGAUAAAAUCUACGGGCACAUAAUUCCUAGUUGCAAAAAUAAGAACAUCAUUAAUUCUUCCCAUAGGCUUUUUAAUAGUGGAAUCUGCAAGAUGCAAGUUUAGAGAGCAGUCAUCAAAAUCACGGAAAUCUAGCAAAUCACAUAAAGUUUUGGGAAUAGUAGAGACACUAGCACCCAAAUCACAUAAAGCAUGAAACUCAAAGUCUUUAACUUUAAUUUUAAUGGUAGGUUCCCACUCACCAUAGAGUUUUCUAGGGAUAGAAACUUUCAUCUCAAGUUUUUCUUCAUAAGAUUGCAUCAAAGCAUCAACGAUAUGUUCGGUAAAGGCCUUAUUUUGACUAUAAGCAUGAGGAGAUUCUAGCACGGAUUGCAACAAGGAAAUACAACCAAUCAAAGAGAAAUUUUCAUAAUUAAAUUCCUUGAGAUCCAAAAUAGUGGGUUUAGCAACAUCACGGUUUCUAUUUGUUUCAAUCCCACUUUCAUCAAUUUCAUCAUCAAGAUCUAGAAACUCCGAAUUCUUAGAACGCCUUCUAGGUAAAGGAAGAUAAUCUUCAGAUUCAUUAAGAUUCAUAUUGCAAAACAAAGAUUUAAUGGGGGACGCAUCAAUAACUUUUAGAUCUUCAUCUUGAUUUUCAUAGGGAUUCGGUUUAGCGGCCAUCUUAUUGACUAAGGUGGCUUGCAUAUCCGAAAUUUCAGCGGUCAUCUCUUCAAGACGAGCAAUUUGUGCUCUUAUGCCAUCAAAUUCUUUGGACAUAUCACCGAGCUCUUUAUUCAUAUAACUCAUAAAACUCUUUUGUUCAUUAAGCUCAUUUCUAAAGAAAUUAUUAUGCUCAAAUUGCAAAACCAUAAAUUUCCUGACAUUGUUUUCGAUCUCCUCUAGCCUUUUAGGGUGAAGAUCACCAAAUUUAGGUAAGGCCAUCACAACAAACAAGCAAACUAACACGCGAGCAAAGAAAAGGCAAACGGGAAAAGGCAAACGGGAAAGAGAGGGCGAAUAAAACGGCAAGGGUGAAGUGGGGGAGAGGAAAACGAGAGGCAAAUGGAAAAUAAUGUAAUGCAAGAGAUAGGGAUUGUGAUGGGUACUUGGUAUGUUGACUUUUGCGUAAGCCUCCCCGGCAAUGGCGCUAGAAAUCCUUCUUGAUACGUCUCGAGCUAGCGUUGGUUUUCCCCGAAGAGGAGGGGGUGAUGCAGCAUAGUAGCGUAAGUAUUUCCCUCAGUUUUUGAGAACCAAGGUAUCAAUCCAGUAGGUGGUCAUGCGCAAGUCCCUCGUACCUGCACAAAACGAUAGCAACUCGCAACCAACGCUUAGGGGUUGUCAAUCCCUUCAUGGUUACUUACAAGAGUGAGAUCUGAUAGAGAUAAUAUUUUUCAUAUUUUUGAUAGAUACAUGCAAGGUAAAAAGUAAAGGCAAAGUAAAAACAAAGCAAGUAAAUAAAGUGAUAUAGAUUGAUAUGAUGAGAAUAGACCCGGGGGCCAUAGGUUUCACUAGUGGCUUCUCUCAAGAGCAUAAGUAUUCUACGGUGGGUGAACAAAUUACUGUUGAGCAAUUGACAGAAUUAAGCAUAGUUAUGAGUAUAUGUAGGCAAUGAUCAUGUAUAUAGGCAUCACGUCCGUAACAAGUAGAUCGAAACGAUUCUGCGUCUACUACUAUUACUCCACUCAUCGACCGCUAUCCAGCAUGCAUCUAGAGUAUUAAGUUAAAAACAGAGUAACGCCUUAAGCAAGAUGACAUGAUGUAGAGCAAUAAAUUCAUGCAAUAUGAUAACCAUCUUGUUAUCCUCGAUGGCAACAAUACAAUACGUGCCUUGCAACUCCUUCUGUCACUGAGUAAGGACACCGCAAGAUUGAACCCAAAGCCAUGCACUUCUCCCAUUGCAAGAACUACCAAUCUAGUUGGCCAAACCAAACGGAUAAUUCGAAGAGACUUGCAUAGAUAACUCAAUCAUACAUAAAAGAAUUCAGAGAAGAAUCAAAUAUUUCCAUAGAUAAUACUGGAUCAUAAACCCACAAUUCAUCGGUCUCAACAAACACACCACAAAAAGAAGAUUACAUCGAAUAGAUCUCCACGAGAGAGGGGGAGAACAUUGUAUUGAGAUCCAAAAAGAGAGAAGAAGCCAUCUAGCUACUAGCUAUGGACCCGAAGGUCUGAAGUACACUACUCACACUUCAUCGGAGGGGCUAUGGCGUUGAUGUAGAAGCCCUCCAUGGUGGAUGCCCUCUCCGGCGGAGCUCCGGAACAGACUCCAAGAUGGGAUCUCAUGGAUACAGAAGGUUGCGGUGGUGGAAUUAGGUUUUUGGCUCCUAUUCUGAUCAUACGGGGAUACGUAGGUAUAUAUAGGAGGAAGGAGUACGUCGGUGGAGCUUCGAGGGGCCCAUGAGGCAGGGGGCGCGCCCUCCACCCUUGUGACAGCCUUGUGGCUUUCUUGACGGAGGGUCCAAGUCUCCUGGAUCUUAUCUGAUGAGAAAAUCACGUUCCCGAAGGUUUCAUUCCGUUUGGACUCCGUUUGAUAUUCCGUUUCUUCGAAAUACUGAAAUAGGCAAGAAAACAACAAUUCUGGGCUGGGCCUCCGGUUAAUAGGUUAGUCCCAAAAAUAAUAUAGAAGUGAAAAAUAAAGCCCAAUAUAGUCUGAAAAAAGUAGAUAAAGUAGCAUGGAGCAAUCAAAAAUUAUAGAUAAAGUAGCAUGGAACUAUCUCCAGUUAGCACCUCUUGGGUGGGAUAGUUUUUUUUGGUGGGUUCGCUGCAACUUGCUCCAAUUUAACCUCAUGCUUGGAUACUUUAGGGCUAUUUGAGCCCCAACUAGCUCAAACUAACUUUAACCCAUGGAUCCAAACAGGGCCUAUGGCCAGCCUCGACACGGAGCAGUCGCGUGCACCGGGAAGCGGCACUCUCUCGGCCAUCGCGCUGCUUCAAAGCCGACGCAAGUGAGAGGUCGCCUCCACUCUGGCCGGGCACUAAUGCGGCACUGACGCUCUGCUACGUCUCGAGCUUGCGUUGGUUUUCCCCAAAGAGGAGAGGAUGAUGCAGCACAGUAGCGUAAGUAUUUCCCUCAGUUUUUGAGAACCAAGGUAUCAAUUCCAGUAGGAGGUCACGCGCAAGUCCCUCUUACCCGCACAACACGAUAGCAACUCGCAACCAAAGCUUAGGGGUUGUCAAUCCCUUCACGGUCACUUACGAGAGUGAGAUCUGAUAUAGAUAAUAUUUUUGGUAUUUUUGAUAGAUAGAUGCAAAGUAAAAAGUAAAGGCAAAGUAAAAACAAAGCUAGUAAAUAAAGUGAUAGAGAUUGAUAUGAUGAGAAUAGACCCGGGGGUCAUAGGUUUCACUAGUGGCUUCUCUCAAGAGCAUAAGUAUUCUACGGUGGGUGAACAAAUUACUGUUGAGCAAUUGACAGAAUUGAGCAUAGUUAUGAGUAUAUCUAGGCAAUGAUCAUGUAUAUAGGCAUCACGUCCGUGACAAGUAGAUCGAAACGAUUCUGCAUCUACUACUAUUACUCCACUCAUCGACCGCUAUCCAGCAUGCAUCGAGAGUAUUAAGUUAAAAACAGAGUAACACCUUAAGCAAGAUGACAUGAUGUAGAGGGAUAAAUUCAUGCAAUAUGAUAAAAAAAACCAUCUUGUUAUCCUCGAUGGCAACAAUACAAUACGUGCCUUGCAACUCUUUCUGUCACUGAGUAAGGACACUGCAAGAUUGAACCCAAAGCCAUGCACUUCUCCCAUUGCAAGAACUACCAAUCUAGUUGGCCAAACCAAACGGAUAAUCCGAAGAGACUUGCAAAGAUAACUCAAUCAUACAUAAAAGAAUUCAGAGAAUAAUCAAAUAUUUUCCAUAGAUAAUUCUGGAUCAUAAACCCACAAUUCAUUGGUGUCAACAAACACACCACAAAAAGAAGAUUACAUUGAAUAGAUCUCCACGAGAGAGGGGGAGAACAUUGUCUUCAGAUCCAAAAAGAGAGAAGAAGCCAUCUAGCUACUAGCUAUGGACCCAAAGGUCUGAAGUAAACUACCCACACUUCAUCGGAGGGGCUAUGGUGAUGAUGUAGAAGCCCUCCAUGGUGGAUGCCCCCUCCUGCGGAGCUCCGGAACAGGCCCCAAGAUGGGAUCUCGUGGAUACAGAAGGUUGCGGCGGUGGAAUUAGGUUUUUGGCUCCUCUUCUGACCAUACGGGGAUACGUAGGUAUAUAUAGGAGGAAGGAGUACGUAGGUGGAGCUCCGAGGGGCCCACGAGGUAGGGGGGCGCCCAGGGGAGGGGGGCGCCCUUCACCCUCGUGACCUCCUCGGAAGCUUCUUGGAGUAGGGUCCAAGUCUCCUGGAUCACGUUCGGUGAGAAAAUCACGUUCCCGAAGGUUUCAUUCCGUUUGGACUCCGUUUGAUAUUCUGUUUCUUCGAAAUACUGAAAUAGGCAAAAAACAACAAUUCUGGGCUGGGCCUCCGGUUAAUAGGUUAGUCCCAAAAAUAAUAUAAAAGUAGAAAAUAAAGCCCAAUAUAGUCCAAAAUAGUAGAUAAAGUAGCAUGGAGCAAUCAAAAAUUAUAGAUACAGUAGCAUGGAACUAUCUCCAGUUAGCACCCCUUGGGUGGGAUAGUAUUUUUUGGUGGGUUCGCUGCAACUUGCUCCAAUUUAACCUCAUGCUUGGAUACUUUAGGGCUAUUUGAGCCCCAACUAGCUCAAACUAACUUUAACCCAUGGAUCCAAACAGGGCCUAUGGCCAGCCUCGACACGGAGCAGUCGCGUGCACCGGGAAGCGGCACUCUCUCGGCCAUCGCGCUGCUUCAAAGCCGACGCAAGUGAGAGGUCGCCUCCACUCUGGCCGGGCAUUAAUGCGGCACUAACGCUCUGCUACGUCUCGAGCUUGCGUUGGUUUUCCCCAAAGAGGAGAGGAUGAUGCAGCACAGUAGCGUAAGUAUUUCCCUCAGUUUUUGAGAACCAAGGUAUCAAUUCUAGUAGGAGGUCACGUGCAAGUCCCUCGUACCUGCACAACACGAUAGCAACUCGCAACCAACGCUUAGGGGUUGUCAAUCCCUUCACGGUCACUUACGAGAGUGAGAUCUGAUAGAGAUAAUAUUUUUGGUAUUUUUGAUAGAUAGAUGCAAAGUAAAAAGUAAAGGCAAAGUAAAAACAAAGCAAGUAAAUAAAGUGAUAGAGAUUGAUAUGAUGAGAAUAGACCCGGGGGCCAUAGGUUUCACUAGUGGCUUCACUCAAGAGCAUAAGUAUUCUACGGUGGGUGAACAAAUUACUGUUGAGCAAUUGACAGAAUUGAGCAUAGUUACGAGUAUAUCUAGGCAAUGAUCAUGUAUAUAGGCAUCACGUCCGUGACAAGUAGAUCGAAACGAUUCUACAUCUACUACUAUUACUCCACUCAUCGACCGCUAUCCAUCAUGCAUCUAGAGUAUUAAGUUAAAAACAGAGUAACACCUUAAGCAAGAUGACAUGAUGUAGAGGGAUAAAUUCAUGCAAUAUGAUAAAAGCCCCAUCUUGUUAUCCUCGAUGGCAACAAUACAAUACGUGCCUUGCAACUCUUUCUGUCACUAAGUAAGGACACCUCAAGAUUGAACCCAAAGCCAUGCACUUCUCCCAUUGCAAGAACUACCAAUCUAGUUGGCCAAACCAAACGGAUAAUCCGAAGAGACUUGCAAAGAUAACUCAAUCAUACAUAAGAGAAUUCAGAGAAUAAUCAAAUAUUUUCCAUAGAUAAUUCUGGAUCAUAAACCCACAAUUCAUUGGUGUCAACAAACACACCGCAAAAAGAAGAUUACAUCGAAUAGAUCUCCACGAGAGAGGGGGAGAACAUUGUAUUGAGAUCCAAAAAGAGAGAAGAAGCCAUCUAGCUACUAGCUAUGGACCCAAAGGUCUGAAGUAAACUACCCACACUUCAUCGGAGGGGCUAUGGUGAUGAUGUAGAAGCCCUCCAUGGUGGAUUCCCCCUCCUGCGGAGCUUCGGAACAGGCCCCAAGAUGGGAUCUCGUGGAUACAGAAGGUUGCGGCGGUGGAAUUAGGUUUUUGGCUCCUCUUCUGAUCAUACGGGGAUACGUAGGUAUAUAUAGGAGGAAGGAGUACGUAGGUGGAGCUCCGAGGGGCCCACGAGGUAGGGGGGGCGCCCAGGGGAGGGGGGGGGGGCGCCCUCCACCCUCGUGACCUCCUCGGAAGCUUCUUGGAGUAGGGUCCAAGUCUCCUGGAUCACGUUCGGUGAGAAAAUCACGUUCCCGAAGGUUUCAUUCCGUUUGGACUCCGUUUGAUAUUCCGUUUCUUCGAAAUACUAAAAUAGGCAAAAAACAACAAUUCUAGGCUGGGCCUUCGGUUAAUAGGUUAGUCCCAAAAAUAAUAUAAAAGUGGAAAAUAAAGCCCAAUAUAGUCCAAAAUAGUAGAUAAAGUAGCAUGGAGCAAUAAAAAAUUAUAGAUAAUGUAGCAUGGAACUAUCUCAAGUUAGCACCUCUUGGGUGGGAUAGUUUUUUUUGGUGGGUUCGCUGCAACUUGCUCCAAUUUAACCUCAUGCUUGGAUACUUUAGGGCUAUUUGAGCCCCAACUAGCUCUAACUAACUUUAACCCAUGGAUCCAAACCGGGCCUAUGGCCAGCCUCGACACGGAGCAGUCGCGUGCACCGGGAAGCGGCACUCUCUCGGCCAUCGCGCUGCUUCAAAGCCGACGCAAGUGAGAGGUCGCCUCCACUCUGGCCGGGCAUUAAUGCGGCACUGACGCUCUGCUAUGUCUCGAGCUUGCGUUGGUUUUCCCCAAAGAGGAGAGGAUGAUGCAGCACAGUAGCGUAAGUAUUUCCCUCAGUUUUUGAGAACCAAGGUAUCAAUUCCAGUAGGAGGUCACAUGCAAGUCCCUCGUACUUGCACAACACGAUAGCAACUCGCAACCAACGCUUAGGGGUUGUCAAUCCCUUCACGGUCACUUACGAGAGUGAGAUCUGAUAGAGGUAAUAUUUUUGGUAUUUUUGAUAGAUAGAUGCAAAGUAAAAAGUAAUGGCAAAGUAAAAACAAAGCAAGUAAAUAAAGUGAUAGAGAUUGAUAUGAUGAGAAUAGACCCGGGGGCCAUAGGUUUCACUAGUGGCUUCUCUCAAGAGCAUAAGUAUUCUACGAUGGGUGAACAAAUUACUGUUGAGCAAUUGACAAAAUUGAGCAUAGUUACGAGUAUAUCUAGGCAAUGAUCAUGUAUAUAGGCAUCACGUCCGUGACAAGUAGAUCGAAACGAUUCUGCAUCUACUACUAUUACUCCACUCAUCGACCGCUAUCCAUCAUGCAUCUAGAGUAUUAAGUUAAAAACAGAGUAACACCUUAAGCAAGAUGACAUGAUGUAGAGGGAUAAAUUCAUGCAAUAUGAUAAAAAAACCCAUCUUGUUAUCCUCGAUGGCAACAAUACAAUACGUGCCUUGCAACUCUUUCUGUCACUGAGUAAGGACACCGCAAGAUUGAACCCAAAGCCAUGCACUUGUCCCAUUGCAAAAACUACCAAUCUAGUUGGCCAAACCAAAUGGAUAAUCCGAAGAGACUUGCAAAGAUAACUCAAUCAUACGUAAGAGAAUUCAGAGAAUAAUCAAAUAUUUUCCAUAGAUAAUUCUGGAUCAUAAACCCACAAUUCAUUGGUGUCAACAAACACACCGCAAAAGGAAGAUUACAUCGAAUAGAUCUCCACGAGAGAGGGGGAGAACAUUGUAUUGAGAUCCAAAAAGAGAGAAGAAGCCAUCAGGCUACUAGCUAUGGACCCGAAGGUCUGAAGUAAACUACUCACACUUCAACGGAGGGGCUAUGGUGAUGAUGUAGAAGCCCUCCAUGGUGGAUGCCCCCUCCUGCGGAGCUCCGGAACAGGCCCCAAGAUGGGAUCUCGUGGAUACAGAAGGUUGCGGCGGUGGAAUAAGGUUUUUGGCUCCUCUUCUGAUCAUACGGGGAUACGUAGGUAUAUAUAGGAGGAAGGAGUACGUCGGUGGAGCUCCGAGGGGCCCACGAGGUAGGGGGGUGCCCUCCACCCUCGUGACCUCCUCGGAAGCUUCUUGGAGUAGGGUCCAAGUCUCCUGGAUCACAUUCGGUGAGAAAAUCACGUUCCCGAAGGUUUCAUUCCGUUUGGACUCCGUUUGAUAUUUCGUUUCUUCGAAAUACUGAAAUAGGCAAAAAACAACAAUUCUGGGCUGGGCCUCCGGUUAAUAGGUUAGUCCCAAAAAUAAUAUAGAAGUGGAAAAUAAAGCCCAAUAUAGUCCAAAACAAUAGAUAAAGUAGCAUGGAGCAAUCAAAAAUUAUAGAUACGUUGGAGACGUAUCAGGCAUCCCCAAGCUUAAUUCCUGCUCGUCCUCGAGUAGGUAAAUGAUAAAAAAGAAUUUUUGAUGCGGAGUGAUACUUUGGCAUAAUUUCAAUGUAAAUCUUCUUAAUCAUGGUAUGAAUAUUCAGAUCCAAAAGAUUCUAGAUAAAAGUUCAUAUUGACAUAAAAAUAAUAAUACUUCAAGCAUACUAAUCAAAGCAAUCAUGUCUUCUCAAAAUAACAUGGCCAAAGAAAGUUCAUCCCUACAAAAUCAUAUAGUUAGGCUAUGCUUCAUUUUCGUGACACAAAGAUGUUCACAACUUCUAUACCCCCGAUGACAAGCCAAGCAAUUGUUUCAUACUCAAAUAAUCUCAAACUUUUUCAACCUUCACGCAAUACAUGAGUGCGAGCCAUGGAUAUAGCACUAUGGGUGGAAUAGAAUAUGAUGAUGGGGAUUGUGUGGGGAAGACAAAAAAGGAGAAAGUCUCACAUUGACGAGGCUAAUCAACGGGCUAUGGAGAUGCCCAUCAAUUGAUGUCAACAUGAGGAGUAGGGAUUGCCAUGCAACGGAUGCACUAGAGCUAUGAAUGCUCAACAAAAGAAAACUAGUGGGUGUGCAUCCAACUUGCUUGCUCAUGAAGACCUAGGGCAUUUGAGGAAGCCCAUCGUAGGAAUAUACAAGCCAAGUUCUAAAAUGAAAAAUUCCCACUAGUAUAAACAAGACAAGUUAUGAGACUCUCUACAUGAAAAACAUGGUGCUACUUUGAAGCACAAUAUAUGAGACUCACUACAUGAAGAACAAGGUGCUACUUUGAAGCACAAGUGUGGUAAAAGGAUAGUAACAUUGUCCCUUCUCUCUUUUUCUGUCAUUAUUUUAUAUUUUUAAUUUUUUUAUUUGGGCCUUUUCUCUUUUUUUUAUGGCCUCUUUUUUUUAUUUGGGCUUCCUUGGCCUCUUUUUUUUUCGUCCGGAGUCUCAUCCCGACUUGUGGGGGAAUCACAGUCUCCAUCAUCCUUUCCUCACUUGGGACAAUGCUCUAAUAAUGAUGAUCAUCACACUUUUAUUUUUCUUACAACUCAACAAUUACAACUCGAAACUAGAACAAGAUAUGACUCUAUAUGAAUGCUUCCGGCGGUUUACCAGGAUGGUGCAAUGAAUCAAGAGUGACAUGUAUGAAAAAUAAUGCAUGGUGGCUUUGCCACAAAUACGAUGUCAACUACAAGAUCAUGCAAUGGCAAUAUGACAAAAGUAAAGUAUGUCAUGAUGAACGGAACGGUGGAAAGUUGCAUGGCAAUAUAUCACGGAAUGGCUAUGGGAAUGCCAUAAUAGGUAGGUAUGGUGGCUGUUUUGAGGAAGAUAUAAGGAGUUUAUGUGUGAAUGAGCAUCUCAUAUCACUGGGUUUGGAUGCACCGGCGAAGUUUGCACCAACUCUCAAUGUGAGAAAGGGCAAUGCACGGUACCGAAGAGGCUAGCAAAUGCGGAAAGGUAAAAGUGCGUAUAAUCCAUGGACUCAACAUUAGUCAAAAGAACUCAUAUACUUAUUGCAAAAAUUUAGAAGCCAUCAAAAAUCAAGUACUACGCAUAAUGCUCCUAGGGGGAUAGAUUGGUAGGAAAAGACCAUCGCUCGUCCCCGACUGACACUCAUAAGGAUGCACAAGCCAGGUACACUUCAUGCUUCAAAUUUGUUACACAACUUUUCCCAUACGUGCAUGCUACGGGACUUACAAACUUCAACACAAGUAUUUCUCAAAUUCACAACUACUCAACUAGCACGACUUUGAUAUUAUUACCUCCAUAUCUCAAAACAAUUAUUAAGCAUUAAAUUUAUCUUAGUAUUCAAUUCACUCAAAAGAAAGUUUGACAUAUCUUGAACACUAAGUAUAUUAACAUUAAGCAAAUUACCAUGCUAUUAAUGACUCUCAAAAUAAUCUAAGUUAAGCAUGAAAGAUCAAGUUUCUUUAAAAUAAAUCCACCACCGUGCUCUAAAAGAUCUAUGUGAAGCACUAGAGCAAAAACUAUCACGCUCAAAAAGAUAUAAGUGAAGCAGUAUGAGCAAAACUAUCAAGCUCAAAAGAUAUAAGUGAAGCACUAUGAGCAAAACUAUCAAGCUCAAAAGAUAUAAGUGAAGCACUAUGAGCAAAACUAUCAAGCUCAAAAGAUAUAAGUGAAGCACUAUGAGCAAAACUAUCAAACUCAAAAGAUAUAAGUGAAGCACUUAGAGUAUUCUAACAAAUUCCAAAUCAUGUAUGGCUCUCUCAAAAGGUGUGUACAGCAAGGAUGAUUGUAGUAGACUGACACAAAUAAUACAAGACGCUCCAAGCAAAACACAUAUCAUGUUGGUGAAUAAAAAUAGAGCUCCAAGUAAAUUACCGAUGGAAGUGGACGAAAGAGGGGAUGCCUUCCGGGGUAUCCCCAAGCUUUGACUUUUUGGUGUCCUUGUAUUAUCUUGGGGGUGCCAUGGGCAUCCCCAAGCUUAGGCUCUUGCCACUCCUUGUUCCAUAAUCCAUCAAAAGAAUUCACCCAAAACUUGAAAACUUCACAACACAAAACUCAAUAGAAAUCUCGUGAGCUCCGUUAGAGAAAGAAAACAAAAGACUACUUCAAGGUACUGUAAUGAACUCAUUAUUUAUUUAUAUUGGUGUUAAACCUACUGUAUUCCAACUUCUCUAUGGUUUAUAAACUAAUUUAAUAGCCAUAGAUUCAUCAAAAUAAGCAAACAACACACGAAAAACAGAAUGUGUCAAAAACAGAACAGUCUGUAGUAAUCUGUAACUAACGCAUACUUCUGGAACUCUAAAAAAUUCUACCAAAACAGUAAGUCCUGGAAAAUUUGUUUAUUGAUCAGCAUCAAAAAGAAUCAACGCAAAAGUACUCUCCAGUAAAAAAUGGCAGCUAAUCUCGUGAGCACUAAAGUUUCUGUUUUUCAGCAGAAUCAAAUCAACUAUCAUCGUAGGUUAUCCUAUAGGUCCUACUUGGCACAAACACUAAUUAAAACAUAAAACCACAUCCAAACAGAAGGUAGAUGGAUUAUUUAUUCCUAAACAGAACCAAAAACAAAAAACACAAAAUAAAAUUGGGUUGCCUCCCAACAAGCGCUAUCGUUUAACGCCCCUAGCUAGGCAUAAAAGCAAAGAUAGAUCUAGGUAUUGCCAUCUUUGGUAGGCAAUCCAUAAGUGGCUCUCAUGAUAGAUUCAUAUGGUAAUUUUAUUUUCUUUCUAGGAAAGUGUUCCAUGCCCUUCUUUAAGGGAAAUUGGAAUCUAAUAU
rnacentral:lncRNA from 1 species